GCGGGUGUGGCGGAAUGGCAGACGCACCAGAUUUAGGUUCUGGCGGGAGACCGUGGGGGUUCAAGUCCCUUCACCCGCACCA
rnacentral:tRNA from 10 species